GUCCACGACCCGCACGCAUGAACAAGCGAGGCCUCCAGGGUGCCCUUGAGCGAGAACCACUCGCACGCAUGACUCGCACAACAUAUCCCAUCGCUGCCGCCCUCGCACUCACAUCAAGCCACCGCUGAUCCCUGUGCUACCUCGAUGGGAGCCAUCGCAAACCCAUCCCUUCGCCGCCGCCCUGCGCCACGAAAGUUUCCACCAGCACCGCGACGGGCGUGGCCUCCACACGCGCCGUCACCGCCCCUCCAGAUUUGGUCGUCGUCAAGGGCGUAUCCAUCCAACAGCGUCACCUCCCCUCCAGAUCCGACCAUUGUCAAGGCUGUAUCCAUCCAGCAGUGCGCCGUCAUCCCAAUCAUCACCGUCCACGGCGUCAUCGCCCAGGCCCAGUCUGGGGCCGGCAAGACGUCCAUGAUCUCCCUCUUUGUCUGCCAGGUUAUCGAGACCAACGUCCACGAGGUGUAGGCAUUAGCGACGACAUGGACAGGGGCUUCACUGACAGGAAGAACUUGCUCAUGGACCGCAGGACCAUGGCUCCCAAGAUCGACGACCUCAGGUAUCAGCCGUGCCAUUAGGGUUCCUCUCAAGAAUUACACACAAGUUUCUUACUCGAGGUACCGACCCUGAGGUCCUUCUUGGUGCCACAUGUGAUUUGUGGGCUGCACUUUUGAAUUUGGUAUGAUGAACUGGACUUUGUAAAUGAGCACAUACACACACUGAACUCCAGAUAAAUGGCAGCUGAAUUUCAAGUACAGGGGACUCUUCUGCCCGAUCACAGUUUUCACACAUUAAUAACUAUAUGGCUCCAUCAGCGUGAAUUCAUUUUUCGGGGGAAAAUUUAAGUGCACAUAGCUGCAAAGAUGUGAAGACCCAUAUCGGUCUUGUUUGAUAUUCUUUGAGUUGGUUUAGAUAGAGAUAAGUGACCUCUUUCAUGUCAAGUGCAUGCGCCAUUUACUAUGCUCAUAACUUGUUCUUUUGCUUUUUCUUGGAUGCAUGCUUGCAUCCAAUUCAGAUUUUCCAUGUGCACUUGAGAACUAAUCAUGCUUGUAGAGAGGAGAAA